rnacentral:piRNA from 1 species
UCCGCAGACUAAAGCCCUCGGGAUAUGCA